UAGCCUUACUUUUUUGCUGUUUUUUGCCCACUUAUGAGAAAUAGAAAAAGUCGCUAAAAAUGGACGAAAAGUUAAGCCUAUAGCCUUACUUUUUUGCUGUUUUUUUGCCCACUUAUGAAAACUAGAAAAAGUCGCUAAAAAUGAACGAAAAGUUAAGCCUAUAGCCUUACUUUUUUGCUGUUUUUUGCCCACUUAUGAAAAAUGAAAAAAAGUCGCUAAAAAUG
rnacentral:lncRNA from 1 species